AAAUUCCAAAAACUCACUACAAAGUUCCGAGUCGUCGCCGGUGAGUUCUCUGCGAGGGUUAAGAGGCGACUGGGUGUGUGUGAGCUGUCACGGUUGUUUGCUCCCCUUCGGCCACCACUCUUCGUUGCUUCAACUCAGACAACCACCUUCAUUAUUUUCUCAAACAGAACUGCCACGCCGCCGCUUCAAACUUGGUCCUUCACUGCUGAUGUCAUGUGGCUCCAAGAGGGGUAGCGCCGGAUCUGCUCUAACCUACCGAUUAUCUGAAAUAAAGGUUUAGACCCUAGGGCUCCUACCAAUUUCAACCACUUUCUCACCAAUUCAACUCUGUUUGUUUGGGACGUGAUGGUGGGAGACAACUCGAUUUAAAGUGGCAAGAGGGAAGAGGCGAUCUACAGAGGGCUUCUCUUAAUUCGUUUCAGUAAAGAUGGGACCCGGGACUCUUGGGAAUGUGUGUUGGGGAGAAGCGUAGUUGUAGAUUUCUGCAAGUAUGGGUUAUGGGAAUCAUGGUUCACCUCCUACUAUUGCAGGUGGGCAAGCUGACCAAGCUUGCCUGAGAAGAAAGAGCGCAUCUAAUGCAGCUUCUUGAGUUGGCGCUGAGCCAGAUUUAAAGGCGGUCAAUAGGGGUGUGAUGCUUAACGUUGCAGGUUCGGUGGCUCUCAGUUGUGGGAAAUUACCAAAAAGUUCAUUUAGAGCCUUCAAAUACCCUUCAUUCACUGUUCCAUUUGCCUAUAAAUCCUUCUCAAUAGUAGCUGCAGGUUUGAGAUUUCUUGAAGUGAGCCCAGAUGGGAAAGUUCCUUUGGCCAAAUUUGAUGAGAAUUGGAUAUGUGAUUGUGAUGCUAUUGUGGGUCUUAUUGAAGUUAAGUACCCUCACCCUUCACUUGCCACUUCCCCUGAACUUGCCUCUGUGUAUGCUCUGUCUCUGUAUAUAUGUCAUAUGACUAUUGGUAUGUCACAAUAGCAAAAAAAUAUAUAACAAUUACUGGUGCCUCCUAUUAGAACCAUUUUUUUUUCAGUUCAUGUUUUCUCUACCCAGCUGGCAUACAAAGCGCAUGGCCUCAUUGUGUCCCUUUAUUUGACACUCUAGGUACGUAUUGUCCAGAUCACCAUUUCAGAAAUUUACCUGUAUUAAAUUGCUUAGAUGUCGAUUAUGUAACUUGAGAUGAUGUUCAUUAUUGAAGAUCCACUUUUGUGCAGCAGCUAACAUAUGUUAUGGAUCCACGGUACAUUUUAAUACCUACUCACAUUUUAGAUAUCGAUUAUACCUGUUUCACACUUUUUCUUUUUAUUAUAUAAUUAAAUCUUUUAUAUAGAUUGUGAUUUGUGAUUGUAGGGGUGGCAGAAUGGGAUGGUUUGCUCUGAUUAGGCACAAAGAAGGUCUCGCCUGCUCUGAUUAGUGACUGAUUCGGGCGGUUAUGGACUAUUCAGCUACCAAAGGAGCACAAUUAUCCUAUCUUUAGAUAUAUCUUUUGUCUGGUAACGUUCCAAGAUUUCCCUGUUCGUUAAGUUUUAUGACGUGUCUGACAUGGUAUCUAGGCAUAGUGGUAGUGGUGGCGGUGGUAGUUGCUUUGCUUCAUUUCAACCCAUCAAUCGGCUGUAAUGGUAGUCAUGAUUCCGUGCUUUUUCUUCGGUCCCUGGUAUCAACAUAGAAAAGGCAUUUCGUUCAAAAGUUUAAGAAAAAAGGUUUAUUCUUUGUGGUUCUUUCUUUGUAGAUGUUCAAGAGGCCUCAAGUUUCUCUCAUGGUGGUUACCGCCUUACCGAUCAGAUCAUGAUUUUGGGAUAUCGGCAGACAGUGCAAGACCAGAUAAGACUGCGUUGACUCGACUGAAUUGAGUUAGAACUCAGUUUGGUUUACUUUCGUGAAGAUUUUGUGCGGUUAUUUGUCCGAUGGAACAUAAAGAUAUUAGGAGUCGAUCCUUUUACCAAGAGACGCUCAGAUAAAAAGGAGCGAGUCAAUAAACAAGAAGCUGGAAAAGUUGAUGCUUUGCCAAGGUUUUAUGUUCUUUUUUGUGCUUUCAUAUCAAUAAGCAGUCAUGGAUCUUAUCUUAAUUUAUAUUUAUAUGAAAUAUGAACCCCUCUUUCCACUCUGGUCAUGUUCAACUUGAUGCACCAACAUUGGCUAUAACUGGGACCCAAACUGCAUCAAGAAAGGCUAGCAAGGAUGACCUACAAAAUAUAGAAGGAAUGGCAGCAACAUCGACUGCCAGUGGUGGUAAAUUUGAGAAAAAGUUGGCUGGUGAAAAACCUCCCAGACAUGAAAAGAAAUACAUGAAGUUCUUACCUGUCGUCGAAGGAUCAUGAAUGGGUUCCUUAGAGACGCAACAAUCUAACAAGAUUCUGAACAAGUUAACGGCCAACAAUUGUCAUGAAGUUUUGAAUUUUGGAAAGUUAAUGAGAUUUAUACACUUUUCCAGCAUUUUGACGUGUUUAUGUGUAAACGGGUAGUUUUGGGUUGUGCUUUUCUUAAUAGGAUAAAAUAGGUGAGUGUAUAUAACUGGUUAAAUUUGAGAUGAUUGAACCGUGAAGCUGGUCAAAUGGGUCUAAAGUCAAAAUUAAGGCCAUGUUUGGGAUUGCUUAUUGAAACUCCUUAA